rnacentral:pre_miRNA from 1 species
CGACGGUUCUCUCGCUCGUCAUGCCGUUCUGAGCUCCGACAUGGCGGACGAGAGAAAAUGGCGUCG